UUUAUCAAUUUAAAAACUUUAUCAAAAUACAUAUCGUGGUUGCAGUACUUAUCCUGGUUUCGAUAUUCUAACGAAGCGUUAAUGGUAGUGCAAUGGGAAAAUGUUCAUAACAUUACUUGUUCCUCAAGGAAAGAUAUUCCUUGUGUUAGAGAAGGUGUCGAAGUAAUUGAAGAACUUGGUUUCAGUAGAGACGAAAAUGAAUGGAACUUUAUCUGCCUGUUUAUAUUAUAUAUUGCUUUUCAUUUGAUGGGAUUAAUUGCUUUAAUUUUGAGAUCUAAAAAGAAAUAAUAAUCAUGAAUGUUUGUAGCUAAUAUAUUUUUACAUUUGUU